CGUCGUCCUGGCGACAGAAAACAGCCAUUAGGCCAGGAGCGGUGCGGGAGAUGUGAUCUCUCGCACGUUGGA
rnacentral:ribozyme from 1 species